UGCAGAUAGUCAUGGGUUUGUGAGGGCAUCCCAUUUUUCUGUUGCUACAAAAGUGUUUUUCUUUGAGAGAAAUUUCAUACUCAAAAAUCUUCUUCUAUAACUGAGUGGGUUUUCAUCUUCUAAAAAAAUCAAAGCCAUUCUUACAAAAGAGGAACGCGAACCUGUCUUGCACUUCGGGAGACACAGUCAGACAUGCCCACAUGGCACUCGUCUAGAGCUCAUCAGGUGUGCCCAACCAUGGUGCUUGUCCAAACUCCAGGCUGGUCUACCACCCAGUGGGCCAUACAUAGCCCACAUUCAAGCUGUUGGAGAGCUUCGAGCAAUCGUUCCCAUCAUUAAGUUUCCCUCCCCUGCCAGAGCGAGGGGAUUUCGACUUGAAAGACGUACUCGAUGCCACAUAUUUCUUCAACUAAUCUUCAGUGCUCUCUCCACUGUUCUUUGUCACAUUCAACUGCUGUGCAGUGGCUCUGAAUCAGUGGUUCCAUUCCAUGUCUGGCACUCAAUUAGGGGAUGGCGGUACUGUAUUCUUUCAUUUGUUAGCGUGGCAAAGCUGAGAGAGGGUUCUGCCGAGCAAGUUCUGCUCUUACAACCCCAUUGGACCAGCCAUGCUGUUGAUGUAAAUAUAUCAGAACAAGAUGUUUUCAAGCUUGGAAGAGAAGAUAUCCAUGUAUUGCACAGUACCUCUACUCAGGCUGGCCCUAUUUUUCCAUGUUGUAUGGGCCACGUGUGAUUUAGGUAAAAUCAUGGAGAAGCUUGCUACAAAGAUACGCAUGCAUAGAGAGAGAGAGAGAGAGAGAGAGAGAGAGAGAGAGAGAAGCUUGCUUGAGGGAGAGAGAAGCUUGCUUGAGGCUGACUGGCUAACCAUGAAGUAAAGAGCAGAUUUUGAUUAGAUAGUUUUUGAAAGUCAACAGAUGAAGAAUGAUAUAAUCUAUAAACCACUCCUUGUUAAUCGAGGAAGCUGGUUCUAUCUGAAGUGAGCUUUCUCCAAAUUAGUUUGCAGUCUCGAUUCAAGUGGACCAUAAGGGAAGAACCUCUGAUGGUCUUGAAAGAGCAGCUGAACGCCCAGCAUAAUUUGUAUGUUAUCUGGAUUUUUUUUUUUUUCCCAAAUGUAAUUUAUAGAGCGACCCGAAGGAAUGAAAAAUAAUCUUUAGAAAGUGAUAAUGAUGAAAAUGUUUAGAAUAUUUGUCUUUGAGCGAUACCGCAAUGUUCAAUACUUGUAGCAGAACAUCUGAACCAUUUAUCUUGUUAGAUCUUUCUGUUAAAAUCUUCAA